UAGCAUUUGCUGAUUUCCCAAUAGGCACUUUGCAUAUGUCAGCCAUUUAACCCUGUGAGGUAGGUAUCAUCAUGCCCAUUUUACAGACUGAGAAACUGAAAUUCAAAAGGCAGAAGUAACUUGCUACAGUCACACACUUUGGAAGGGUGAGAGUCAGGAUUUGAAGAUUUGAGGCUAGUUCUAAUCAUUUCCAAAACCCUUGCUCUUUCUAGCACAGCUCGCUGCCUCCCAGUGCAAAACGGUAUAUACUCAAGUGGGAAAUUGGUGAGGUCAAGCUCCUGCGGGUGGCGACCAUGAGGGAUUGAGCAAAAGGAGAGACCAGAACUGCCAACUCCUGAUUUCCUCUGUUCCUCCCAACGGGAGGCUCAGAGGCCUGCAAUACCAGCAGUUCCCAUCUCUGCACGUGACUUGUCAGGGGAACUUUUCUCCGAUGCUCACACGACACGAGAACUUGUCACAUCUUCCAUCUCCGGGAACAUCCUCACCUGAAAUUGAAAGGUAGAACAAAGGCAGUGAAGGGUGUAAGGAUAUUAUACAGCUGUGUUCUGUGAACUCUUGUUAAGGCUGUGGAAUGGAUCCAGGAAGGAUGGCCUCAAAUUAAGAUUUUAAUAGCUCUUCCAUUUAGAAAUCACACUCUUGCUUUUAAUGCUGUCUUGUUAGAUCUGAUUUUUGACUUUGCAGGUGAAAGUAGAAAACCCCAUUUCCUAUUCAACUGUACAAAUGUUUGCCUCUGUGUGUUUGCAUGUGUAUGUCUGUUAGGGAACAAAUGCAUUGUGCCUACAGAAAGUCAGGACAAAACAAUUUCAAGAACUGAGAGUUUCCUGAAUCAUCUACGGUAAAAGGCAAUUAAAUGCCGAAUUUUGACAAGGAUAAAGUAGCCAGACCCAAAUACUGACUGAGUAGGGGCCCCAAGAGACUUUGUGUCAAAUGUACUUUUAAAUGUUAU